rnacentral:lncRNA from 1 species
CGCAUCUCGGUGCUGAGUGCCUGGCACACUUGAGGCUGGGGCAUGCCCUGUUGACUGGAACGGGGUCCCAUGCCCAGCAGGCCCACGUGGUAUGUUGGUGCUCAGGAGAGGUGGUGGAGUUUGGUUUCUCAGACAGAGCCUUGAGACAGCGAGUCAGUGGAGGCUGGGCCUCCAGACCUUCUUUUUGGGGUUUUUGUUUUGUUUUUUAGAAACAGGGUCUCACUCUGCUGUCCAGUGUAGAGUGCCAUGGAGUGAUCAAUGCUCACUGCAGCCUCGACCUCCCUGGCUCAAGCAAUCCUCCCAUCUCAGCCUCCUGAGUAGCUGGGAUUACAGGCAUGCAUCACCACACCCAGUUAAUGUUUGUAUUUUUUUGUAGGGACCUGGGGUCUCACUAUGUUGCCCAGGCUGGUCUCAAACUUCUGGGCUCAAGCAAUCCACCCUCCUUGGCCAGGAGUUUUUGCCAAGUCCAUGUCCUCCCUCCCUCUGUGUCGGGAGCAGGCCUGGGCACUCAGCGUGGGGAUCCAGGGGUUCACAGGCUGCCUUUGUGUGAGAGAAGCUGCUAUCUCUGCUCAUGGGUUGCCCAGGGGUGCAGAGUCUGCAGGAAGGUUGCGAUGGAGCUGGGCUUUUCCCUCCGUUCCCAGCCUGCAGCGUCAUGAGUUGCCUCCUGUGCUGGGGUGCAGCCUGCGGUUGCUUUAGUUCUGUGUGGGCGAGAGCUUGUGGGCCCCGGCGUACUCAGGGCGUUGUACUUCAUCACUGGGGUCAUCCUGGUUGGUGCCCAGCCCCCUCACCUCACAGACCUCCUGCAGGCCACCUCCAGGCCUCCGAGAUGACCCCGGUAAUGCUGUGGUAGCUCCUGGCCUUUGGAACAAGAUGACUCCGGCUCUUCUUGUUUGUUUCACCCGCCCUUCUCCUCAAGCAACUCAUUUUUUUCAGUGGAAGAUGAUCUUGCAGAACUGCUGCCAGGCGCCAGCGGUGCACCCCCCGCCCGGCACGUGGCCUCCCAGCCACCCAGCCGCCCUCCUCCCUGCCCUGACGGCCCUGCCCCUGUGCUGGGUGUCUCUGGUGCUGCUCAGAUGUUUCAGCACCUGGGUGUGCAGAGUGAGGUGGGUGGUUUAAAGACUGGGAUCCACACUGGAGGCC